AAUUGGACCACACUUAUGUGGGCUGAUAUAAAAUCAAGUGGCCCAUUUUAAACCCUUACCUCCUUUCCUGCACGAUGUUCAGCGUACUCGAGACUCUUCCACUCCAUCAUCAUCGUCUUCAAUUUCUGAAACCCGUUACUGACUUACUGUGAAGUCAUCAAGCCCCAUUUUUAAUCAUUCAAUUAAGUUCUCCACUGCUCUCAUCGUGAUUAGUUUAGUAGUCGCAACUCUUCAGAUUCCCCCUUCCCACACUAUAAAUAACAAAAGUGUCUCUCUCUCAACCACUACAAUCUAAACACUGUUGAUAUUAUUCCAUCACCCCCACUACACGGAGAUUGACAAAACCUACCACCUUUGUGUCUCCCAAUCAGAGUAGAACCUUCUGAAGGGCCUUGACUUGGUUUGCGAUGCUGUUACAGAUGAGCAGAAUUGAUUCUUAAGAGUUUCUGAUUGCAUUUUUCUCUCAUGGAAUCCUUAUCAGUCACUGUUCCCAUUUCAGGAAGUUUCGAGCAGCUUCAACAGCCCCAGGAGCACCGCUGAUUCUCCACAUGUAGGUAUUAUCUUCUCUUCCUCUUGCUAAAAUUUUGAGCUUUUAGCUGUUGGUUUACUCAUGUCUAGCUGCUAUCUAAUAUUUACUUCCGGUUUCAAACCUAAAAUGCCCCGUUGUUGUUCUUUCUAUCAUGAGCUGAAGUAAUUCCCCACUCAAGCAAGUGAUUUAGGCAUAUAGCAGCUGCUGUAAAUGAAGCUCUUAAAAGAUUCAGAUAUGAAAGCUGGAAAACGGUUUUGUUCUGGUGGACAUGGAAUCCAGCUACCUCACGGUUGAGUUCUUCAGAAAAAUUCACCUUGAGCCCUAGCAAAAGAAACCAAACCCAAGAAAUGCCACACCCCAAAAUGCAGAAAUAUACUCCGAUAAUCACUUCAGAAAGAUUGGAUACAACGUAAGUGCGUACAUAAACAUGCUCUGUGACUCAUUGAGAGACUCUCCUCCCAAAGCUUUUGUUUACUGCCAAGUUAGAGAAGCAAAGAUAUCCUUCCUCAACUUAAUUCUUCUACCCUCACCCCGGCAGGAAAGAGAAGGAGAAGUCGGGGACAAUGCUGGACGAAGAAACACAGCACAUUGGAACAAAGAGGAACCUAAUCCGAACGGCUCGAGCUUUACAAACAAGCUUGAGAUGUAUUGAUGCUGUACCUUGGAGCUAUAAUGGGUUCUAAGCUGGCAGCACUCUCCUGUCUCCAUUCUUAACACAAUGAACCCAGAGCAAGUUAGUUGUCUCCUCCAGCUAAUGUCACAGACUCUUCUAAGUACAUUCUUGCAUAGGAGAUCCCGGUUCAGUACGGUGGUAUCCAAAGAGGCGAUGAUACCAAAUUUUCCAACGAAGCUGUCUCUGAAAUUUUCGUUUAAGUCUGGGUCAUCUGUAAACAUCAAGAUCCCAGAGUCUGAGGGACAAGGUUAAACCAUAGCCUCGAAAGAAAUAAAUCCAUGAGACAUCUGAAGAUGAUACCCAAUCUUCUAAAGUAUUUGUCAACUUUAUUACCGUAGCUAAAUGACAUGGGAUGGGCGAGGCGAGUCCAUUGAAGACAUGACCGGAGGAUGAAGUUCUGUGGCAACCAUUGCAACUUAUUUUUUAAUCUUUAUUUCAGUAGGUUUUAAGUAAUUAUCUGCUGAGUUUCAUGAUUGUUAAGCUUUUAGUUCUCUCUCCCUUCUGGUUUAUUGCUGAUGUCUGGAAGAAUCUCAGAUGAAGAAGAAGAUAUCGAUUGGGGACAAGAAAGUGAUCUUUGCACGGAAGAAAGAAAGAGUAAAUGUUUCUAAAGAUAAACAAGACCAUGUAAACAUAAAAACAUAUAUCAAAAUUCAAGUUGGGAUCUUUUUAAAAAUUA